rnacentral:rRNA from 1 species
CUCCUACGGGAGGCAGCAGUGGGGAAUUUUGGACAAUGGGCGCAAGCCUGAUCCAGCCAUGCCGCGUGAGUGAAGAAGGCCUUCGGGUCGUAAAGCUCUUUCGGCGGGGACGAAAAGGUCCGUGUUAACACCACGGAUCCAUGACGGUACCCGCAGAAGAAGCACCGGCUAACUACGUGCCAGCAGCCGCGGUAAUACGUAGGGUGCAGGCGUUAAUCGGAAUUACUGGGCGUAAAGCGUGCGCAGGCGGUCUAUUAAGACAGGUGUGAAAUCCCCGGGCUUAACCUGGGAACUGCGCUUGUAACUGAUAGGCUGGAGUGUGGCAGAGGGGGGUGGAAUUCCAGGUGUAGCAGUGAAAUGCGUAGAGAUCUGGAGGAACACCGAUGGCGAAGGCAGCCCCCUGGGCUAACACUGACGCUCAUGCACGAAAGCGUGGGGAGCAAACAGGAUUAGAUACCCUGGUAGUCCACGCCCUAAACUAUGUCAACUGGUUGUCGGGGAAGCAAUUCCUUGGUAACGAAGCUAACGCGUGAAGUUGACCGCCUGGGGAGCACGGCCGCAAGGUUAAAACUCAAAGGAAUUGACGGGGACCCGCACAAGCGGUGGAUUAUGUGGAUUAAUUCGAUGCAACGCGAAAAACCUUACCUACCCUUGACAUGCUA